rnacentral:rRNA from 1 species
GACGAACGCCGGCGGCGUGCUUAACACAUGCAAGUCGAACGGGUCUGCCCUGUUUUUUGCGGGGUGGGUCAGUAGCGAACGGGUGAGUAACACGUGAGUAACCUGCCCCUCACUUCUGGAUAACCGCUUGAAAGGGUGGCUAAUACGGGGUGUUCUGGCUGUGCCGCAUGGUGUGGCUGGGAAAGAUUCACUUUUGUGGUGUUUUGGUGGGGGAUGGGCUCGCGGCCUAUCAGCUUGUUGGUGGGGUGAUGGCCUGCCAAGGCUUUGACGGGUAGCCGGCCUGAGAGGGUGGGCGGUCACACUGGGACUGAGAUACGGCCCAGACUCCUGCGGGAGGCAGCAGUGGGGGGUAGUGCACAAUGGGCGGAAGCCUGAUGCAGCGACGUCGCGUGAGGGAUGGAGGCCUUCGGGUUGUGAACCUCUUUCGCCGGUGAAGAAGGUCCUGCUCUUUGUGGUGGGGUUGACGGUAGCCGGGUUAUGAAGCGCCGGCUAACUACGUG